UACGAGGGAGGGCGAGCGUUUGUCCGGAUUUAUUGGGCGUAAAGAGCGUGUAGGCGGUUCGGUAAGUCUGUCGUGAAAUCCUGAGGCUCAACCUCGGACGUGCGAUGGAUACUGCCGGGCUAGAGGAUGGUAGAGGCGAGUGGAAUUCCCGGUGUAGCGGUGAAAUGCAUAGAUAUCGUCAAGAACACCUAUAGCGAAGGCAGCUUACUGGGCUGUAACUGACGCUGAGGCACGAAAAGUGUGGGGAUCAAACAGG
rnacentral:rRNA from 1 species